rnacentral:pre_miRNA from 1 species
GGGGGGAGGCCGGAUCCUUGGCUGUGUCCCGGCGCCCUGUGCUCCGGAGCCUGCGCUGUUGGAUUCGCGCUCCCGCCCCACAGCCCCCU